rnacentral:rRNA from 1 species
GACGAACGCUGGCGGCGUGCUUAACACAUGCAAGUCGAACGGAAAGGCCUGCUUUCCCUUGUGGAUUGCGGGUACUCGAGUGGCGAACGGGUGAGUAACACGUGAGUGAUCUGCCCCCAACUUGGGUAUAAGCCUGGGAAACUGGGUCUAAUUCCCGAUAGGACUGCAGGGUGGUGCCUGUGGUGGAAAACGAUUUUCUAGUGGUUGGGGAUGAGCUCGCGGCCUAUCAGCUUGUUGGUGGGGUAAUGGCCUACCAAGGCGGCGACGAGUAGCCGGCCUGAGAGGGUGGACGGCCACAUUGGGACUGAGCUACGGCCCAGACUCCUACGGGAGGCAGCAGUGGGGAGUAUUGCACACUGGGCGGAAGCCUGAUGCAGCGACGCCGCGUGGGGGAUGACGGCCUUCGGGUUGUAAACUCCUUUCGACCGCGAGGAAGCCACCUGGUUGGAAGGGUGGUGACGGUAGUGGUAGAAGAAGCACCGGCUAACUACGUG